GACGAACGCUGGCGGCGUGCUUAACACAUGCAAGUCGAACGGAAAGGCCCUGCUUUUGUGGGUUGCUCGAGUGGCGAACGGGGGAGUAACACGUGAGUAACCUGCCCUUGACUUUGGGAUAACUUCAGGAAACUGGGGCUAAUACCGGAUAGGAGCUCCUGCUGCAUGGUGGGGGUUGGAAAGUUUCGGCGGUUGGGGAUGGACUCGCGGCUUAUCAGCUUGUUGGUGGGGUAGUGGCUUACCAAGGCUUUGACGGGUAGGCGGCCUGAGAGGGUGACCGGCGACAUUGGGACUGAGAUACGGCCCAGACGGCUACGGGAGGCAGCAGUGGGGAAUAUUGCGCAAUAAGAGAGAGCCUGAUGCAGCAGCGCCGCGUGCGGAAUGACGGGCUUCGGGUUGUAAACCGCUUUCGCCUGUGACGAAGCGUGCGUGACGGUAAUGGGUAAAGAAGCACCGGCUAACUACGUG
rnacentral:rRNA from 1 species